rnacentral:sRNA from 1 species
CCUAGAACUAUCUUACCCAGGCAACUCUCAAACUUACAGCUAUCCUCCUGCCUCGAUCCCUAAAGUGCAGGGAUUUCACUUUGGAUGUUCACUGCCUAGAACUGUAUCCAUUUGGCAUCCUUUCUCCAAACACUGUUGACUGUGAACUUCAAAAGCAUUUAAAGCAAAUGCCGGCCCGAGAAGCUGAGAACGAGGCAGCUGCUCAGUGCACAAGCCCAGGUACUUGAGCAGUUCCAGUCUAGCACCACAAUCCCAGACAGGCCUGGAGAGCCGCUGGCCUUCUGUCCACAAUGGAAGGACUGGUUCUAAGAGCAUCAAAGGCAACAACAACAGAAGCAACGGUAAACGAACUCAGUAUCCGGAGCGGAGGCCGAGCAGCAAGAGGGAAGGAAGGUCAAGCAAGCAGAAGGUCAGAGAACUGAGGCUUUCCAGUUCAUCUAAGGAAGCACCUCAGACUGCAGCUUCAGCAGUGUCUUUUAUGGUUGUGAAGUCGUUGUGAAGUCGACUUCCUACUUCGAUGUCUUGUACCCAUCUCUUAAAGGGCCACUCCCAGCUGCAGGUAAGGGAAUGUCCUUUGGGUGUUUCUACUUCUCCUUUGCUUCCUGUUUCACAGUCAGUUCCUAAUCCAUAACAAAACAACGCACCUAAUCCCAGCUGUGGUAACUGAAUAUUUUCAUAGUCAGUUGCUCUGGCACCUGGCCAAGACUUUUGAUAAGCUAAGUGAAAUUAACUUCAUGUGCUGGGAAUUUAUUCCCACUGAAGGACACUGUCCAGAGCCUGAGGGGGGGAUGUAGGCUUAGAGAAAGCAAAUGCUCUCCAGUCAAGGCCCAGGCCACAGAGCCUCCUUCGUGGUCUGACAGCAAAUGCUUUCUAGAGGAGGCUAAAUCCCCCCCAAGGUUACAAUAGCCACUCUGAGCUUUAGCAGACGCUGGUUUUAUCAGCUCAAGGUUGAAUCUAUUUCACAGCAAAGAGGAAUGGGGAAGAACCCUUA